AACGAACGCUGGCGGCAGGCCUAACACAUGCAAGUCGAGCGCCCUUUCGGGGGAGCGGCGGACGGGUGAGUAACGCGUGGGAAUAUGCCCUUCUCUACGGAAUAGCCUCGGGAAACUGAGAGUAAUACCGUAUACGCCCUGUGGGGGAAAGAUUUAUCGGGGAAGGAUUAGCCCGUGUUGGAUUAGGUAGUUGGUGGGGUAAUGGCCUACCAAGCCGACGAUCCAUAGCUGGUUUGAGAGGAUGAUCAGCCACACUGGGACUGAGACACGGCCCAGACUCCUACGGGAAGCAGCAGUGGGGAAUCUUAGACAAUGGGGGCAACCCUGAUCUAGCCAUGCCGCGUGAGUGAUGAAGGCCUUAGGGUUGUAAAGCUCUUUCAGCUGGGAAGAUAAUGACGGUACCAGCAGAAGAAGCCCCGGCUAACUCCGUG
rnacentral:rRNA from 1 species